rnacentral:rRNA from 1 species
GGUGGAGCGAUUUGUCUGGUUUAUUCCGAUAACGAACGAGACUCUGGCCUACUAAAUAGUGACAGGAUUAUUACUGUCCUGGAUACUUCUUAGAGGGACAAGUGGUUUUCAGCCACACGAAAUUGAGCAAUAACAGGUCUGUGAUGCCCUUAGAUGUCCGGGGCUGCACGCGCGCUACACUGAAGGAAUCAGCGUGCUAAAACCAUUGUCGAAAGGCAUUGGUAAACCCAUUAAAAUCCUACGUGAUUGGGAUCGGGAAUUGCAAUUAUUUCCCUUGAACGAGGAAUUCCCAGUAAGUGUGGGUCAUAAGCUCGCGUUGAAUACGUCCCUGCCCUUUGUAC